GACGAACGCUGGCGGCGUGCUUAACACAUGCAAGUCGAACGAAGUGGCGAACGGGUGAGUAACGCGUAAUCAACCUGCCCUUCAGAGGGGGAUAACAGUUGGAAACGACUGCUAAUACCGCAUACUGAAGGAGGGGAUUGCGUCUGAUUAGCUAGUUGGAGGGGUAACGGCCCACCAAGGCGAUGAUCAGUAGCCGGUCUGGGGGGAUGGACGGCCAACAUGGGACUGGGACACGGGCCAGGACCAUAAGGGAGGCAACAGGGGGGAAUGUUCCGCAAUGGACGAAAGUCCGACGGAGGAACGCCGCGGGAGUGAUGACGGCCUUUGGGUUGUAAAGCUCUGUUAAUCGGGACGCGGUACCGGAAUAGAAAGCAACGGCUAACUACGUGCCAGCAGCCGCGGUAAUUC
rnacentral:rRNA from 1 species